AUUGAACGCUGGCGGAAUGCUUUACACAUGCAAGUCGAGCGGCAGCGCGGGGGCAACCCUGGCGGCGAGCGGCGAACGGGUGAGUAAUACAUCGGAACGUGUCCUUGAGUGGGGGAUAGCUCGGCGAAAGCCGGAUUAAUACCGCAUAAGCUCUGAGGAGGAAAGCGGGGGACCUGGUAACGGGCCUCGCGCUGUUGGAGCGGCCGAUGUCGGAUUAGCUAGUUGGGGGGUAAAGGCCCACCAAGGCGACGAUCCGUAGCUGGUCUGAGAGAACGACCAGCCACACUGGGACUGAG
rnacentral:rRNA from 1 species